rnacentral:rRNA from 1 species
UACGGAGGGUGCAAGCGUUGUUCGGAAUUACUGGGCGUAAAGCGCGCGUAGGCGGCUAUGUAAGUCAGAUGUGAAAGCCCGCGGCUCAACCGUGGAAGUGCAUUUGAAACUGUAUAGCUUGAGUACUGGAGGGGGUAGUGGAAUUCCCGGUGUAGAGGUGAAAUUCGUAGAUAUCGGGAGGAAUACCGGUGGCGAAGGCGACUACCUGGCCAGAUACUGACGCUGAGGUGCGAAAGCGUGGGGAGCAAACAGGAUUAGAUACCCCCGUA